UAGGGAAUCUUCCGCAAUGGGCGAAAGCCUGACGGAGCAACGCCGCGUGAGUGAUGAAGGUCUUCGGAUCGUAAAACUCUGUUAUUAGGGAAGAACAAAUGUGUAAGUAACUAUGCACGUCUUGACGGUACCUAAUCAGAAAGCCACGGCUAACUACGUGCCAGCAGCCGCGGUAAUACGUAGGUGGCAAGCGUUAUCCGGAAUUAUUGGGCGUAAAGCGCGCGUAGGCGGUUUUUUAAGUCUGAUGUGAAAGCCCACGGCUCAACCGUGGAGGGUCAUUGGAAACUGGAAAACUUGAGUGCAGAAGAGGAAAAUGGAAUUCAAUGUGUAACAGUGAAAUACGCAGAGAUAUGGAGGAACACCAGUGGCGAAGACAACUUUCUGGUCUGUAACUGACGCUGAUAUGCGAAAGCGUGGGGAUCAAACAGG
rnacentral:rRNA from 1 species